rnacentral:rRNA from 1 species
ACGAACGUUGGCGGCGUGCUUAAUACAUGCAAGUCAACUGAAGCAGUGGUAGCAAUAUCGCUGUGGAGGUGGCGCACGGGUGAGUAACACGUAGGUAAUCUGCCUUCAGGUCUGGCAUAACUCCGGGAAACCGGGGCUAAUAGCAGAUGAUGCAGCGGCUCGACAUCGAGACAGUUGUUAAAGCUAUGGCGCCUGAAGAUGAGCCUGCGUCUGAUUAGCUAGUUGGCGGGGUAACGGCCCACCAAGGCAACGAUCAGUAGCUGGUCUGAGAGGAUGAUCAGCCAUACUGGAACUGAGACACGGUCCAGACUCCUACGGGAGGCAGCAGUAAGGAAUAUUGCUCAAUGGGAGAAAUCCUGAGGCAGCAACGCCGCGUGAGGGACGAAGGGCUUUUGCUUGUAAACCUCUGUAGUGAGAGAAAAAAAUCCCAAUCUUUGGGACAUGAUGGUAUCUCAAAAGUAAGCCCCGGCUAACUACGUG